rfam:Streptomyces rubidus strain CGMCC 4.2026 genome assembly, contig: Ga0079901_1110
UGAUCUCUUCGGAGUGAGGGGGAGUGGUGGAGCCGGUGACCCGAGGUGGUAGUAGGUAAGCGAUGGGGUGACGCAGGAAGGUAGUCCAGCCCGGGCGGUGGUUGUCCCGGGGUAAGGGUGUAGGACGUCAGGUAGGUAAAUCCGCCUGGCUUUAAGUCUGAGACCUGAUGCCGAGCCGAUUGUGGUGAAGUGGAUGAUCCUAUGCUGUCGAGAAAAGCCUCUAGCGAGUUUCAUGGCGGCCCGUACCCUAAACCGACUCAGGUGGUCUGGUAGAGAAUACCGAGGCGUUCGGGUGAACUGUGGUUAAGGAACUCGGCAAAAUGCCCCCGUAACUUCGGGAGAAGGGGGGCCUCUCCUGGUGAUGAGUCUUGCACUCUGAGCUGGGGGUGGCCGCAGAGACCAGCGAGAAGCGACUGUUUACUAAAAACACAGGUCCGUGCGAAGCCGUAAGGCGAUGUAUACGGACUGACGCCUGCCCGGUGCUGGAACGUUAAGGGGACCGGUUAGUCACGAUUCGUCGUGGCGAAGCUGAGAACUUAAGCGCCAGUAAACGGCGGUGGUAACUAUAACCAUCCUAAGGUAGCGAAAUUCCUUGUCGGGUAAGUUCCGACCUGCACGAAUGGCGUAACGACUUCUCGACUGUCUCAACCACAGGCCCGGUGAAAUUGCACUACGAGUAAAGAUGCUCGUUUCGCGCAGCAGGACGGAAAGACCCCGGGACCUUUACUAUAGCUUGAUAUUGGUGUUCGGUUCGGCUUGUGUAGGAUAGGUGGGAGACUGUGAAGCCGUGGCGCCAGCCAUGGUGGAGUCAACGUUGAAAUACCACUCUGGUCGUGCUGGAUGUCUAACCUCGGUCCGUGAUCCGGAUCAGGGACAGUGUCUGGUGGGUAGUUUAACUGGGGCGGUUGCCUCCUAAAGAGUAACGGAGGCGCCCAAAGGUUCCCUCAGCCUGGUUGGCAAUCAGGUGUUGAGUGUAAGUGCACAAGGGAGCUUGACUGUGAGACUGACGGGUCGAGCAGGUACGAAAGUAGGGACUAGUGAUCCGGCGGUGGCUUGUGGAAGCGCCGUCGCUCAACGGAUAAAAGGUACCCCGGGGAUAACAGGCUGAUCUUCCCCAAGAGUCCAUAUCGACGGGAUGGUUUGGCACCUCGAUGUCGGCUCGUCGCAUCCUGGGGCUGGAGUCGGUCCCAAGGGUUGGGCUGUUCGCCCAUUAAAGCGGUACGCGAGCUGGGUUUAGAACGUCGUGAGACAGUUCGGUCCCUAUCCGCUGCGCGCGCAGGAGUCUUGAGAAGGGCUGUCCCUAGUACGAGAGGACCGGGACGGACGAACCUCUGGUGUGCCAGUUGUCCUGCCAAGGGCAUGGCUGGUUGGCUACGUUCGGGAGGGAUAACCGCUGAAAGCAUCUAAGCGGGAAGCCUGCUUCGAGAUGAGGACUCCCACCCACUUGAUGGGGUAAGGCUCCCAGUAGACGACUGGGUUGAUAGGCCGGAUGUGGAAGCACCGUAAGGUGUGGAGCUGACCGGUACUAAUAGGCCGAGGGCUUGUCCAU